GGGCCUGUAGCUCAGCCUGGCUAGAGCGGUGGACUUUUAAUCCAUAGGUCGCGAGUUCAAAGAACCUUUCUUCGGGUUGCCA
rnacentral:tRNA from 1 species